UGAGGAAUAUUGGUCAAUGGACGCAAGUCUGAACCAGCCAAGUAGCGUGCAGGAUGACGGCCCUAUGGGUUGUAAACUGCUUUUAUAUGGGGAUAAAGUGGGGAACGUGUUCCCUUUUGCAGGUACCAUAUGAAUAAGGACCGGCUAAUUCCGUGCCAGCAGCCGCGGUAAUACGGAAGGUCCAGGCGUUAUCCGGAUUUAUUGGGUUUAAAGGGAGCGUAGGCUGUUUGUUAAGCGUGUUGUGAAAUGUAGGAGCUCAACUUUUAGAUUGCAGCGCGAACUGGCAGACUUGAGUGCGCACAACGUAGGCGGAAUUCAUGGUGUAGCGGUGAAAUGCUUAGAUAUCAUGACGAACUCCGAUUGCGAAGGCAGCUUACGGGAGCGCAACUGACGCUAAAGCUCGAAGGUGCGGGUAUCGAACAGG
rnacentral:rRNA from 1 species